CUCUGGUGGUGAUAACACGAAUUAGUUCAGGUAACAAGGUAACGUGCAGUGUAGCGCAUUAAUAUGAUGAAGGAUAAUUAAUGGCAUUAGUGAGAGGUGUAAUGUGGAAGGUGAAGGUGAAUUAGAUUCAGUUAAAGGAUAGUGUUUGCACGGUGAAUAAGUUAUUUGUUUGUGGAGUUUUCACCAAAGAAUAUUUUAUUUAUCGGUCUCCCUGUACCUGCACUUGACCACUCUGCAGAGUUUUCUCGGUCUUGAAGGCAGAUGCCUUACAUCCCACUAACUGUGAUAGUGACGGGCUAGUACCCACCAGUGGCACCUGACGCUCCACUUGCUCACACCAAGAAGUGCCAUUUGUAUGUACAGGUUGAUGGAAGUUGAGGUUUGUUAUGAUGAGUAAUGUUUGAUGUUUAUGUAAAUUAUUGAUUGAAUUUUGUUUAAGGGAUGUAGAGAGAUAUUUAGUAACUAAAUAUUUAUUUUUUGAGGUUGGUGAAGUAAGUUGAGGUUUGAGGGAGUGUUUUUGAGUGGGUGGGUGGGUGGUUGAUUUUGGCAUGGUCGGCUAUUGUGGAAUGAGGGUGUGAGCGAGUUUGGUGGAGGGAGAGAGAGUAUAAUGAGUUACUUUUGAAAGGUUUGUGGAGGUUUUGAAGAGUUUGGGGUUUACUGUCAUUGUAAGUGACUAAGUGGGAGAGGCAGCAAUUAAUAUUGAAAGCGGUAAGACUGACUGAGUGACUGAAUGCUGAUUGAAGGGUAGUGGUGCGGGUGCUGCUGCUGCUGCUGUUACUGUUUAUACUUUGUUAUAAGUUGAGUAUUAUUAUUUUGUUUAGUAAUUUUAUUUAUUUCUGAGAAUUAAAGGGUAUGUGUAGGGAGAAGGUUGUUAUUUUUAAGAGGAUGAGGGUAUUUUUAGAUGGAUAAGGAAGAAAGUAAUUUUGUUAUAUAUUUAGGGUUGAAACAAUGAAUAAAUAAUGAUGGUCGUAUCCCAGACUUGUCAUUAUUAAUUUUUAAACAAGUGUAUAUGUAAUGUGGGAGUUAUGUAUACACUUGUAUUAAUACUUGUCGAGUUUAAAUAAACUAAUUUUUUUUUAGAUAAUGACUAGUAUAGAUAGUUUGAUAAUUUUAUCUAAUUAAUUUUUUUGUUCAGUUUAAGAAAGAUGAUGGCAGUUAAUGGGUUAGAUAAUAAUAAAUUUGAAUUUAGACAAAUUAAAUUUAAUGAAAUGUUUUUAAUUUUGAUUUAGAUGGUGUAUUUUAAAUAUUUUUGAGUCUUUAUAAUUAA